GGAGACGUGGGUGAGUGGCUGAAACCAACGGUUUGCUAAACCGUCGUACCCUAACUGGGGUACCCCGGGUUCGAAUCCCGGCGUCUCCGCCA
rnacentral:tRNA from 1 species